GUCUUCUUGGUGUAGUGGUCAAGACGCUCGACGUGUAACCGAGAGGUCCGUGGUUCGAUUCCCGGCGAAGGCG
rfam:Stegodyphus mimosarum contig98658, whole genome shotgun sequence.